rnacentral:lncRNA from 1 species
CAGUUUCUAGCAUCAGUUUCUUUUAAACAAUUAGAUAUCAUGCAUAUAGGGAAGAACACAAGAAAUUCUACCUAUAGAUUUAAACUAUUUCACGAUUGGUUCACUUCGAAACUAGUUUAAUUAGAGUUUUAUUUUCCCUGAAAUGAUUUCUUUCAAAAACUGCCUUAAUCUAUCAUUAGACAGCAUGCCUUUAGGGAUUCAAGAACUGUGUUUUAAAAUCUGCCCUGUUUUACUAUAUAAAAUGUAGUUAUCAUUAUUCCGUGUGUAGAUAAUCCUAUAGGGCGUUUCCGAAUCCUGUAACUCUGAAACUAUUUUUGUUACUUAAUGUCGUUGUGAUUUUUAACAGGCUUUAGAAUCAGUAGGCAGACUGAUAGGGCCAUUGCUUUUGAGUUUAUAAAACAAACUGCCUAUCUAAUGUGCCUUCAUAUUCACUUAGACAUUAUGUCUUAGGAAAAUGUUUAACAAAAGUCCCUUAUUUGUGUUUGAGCCGUGCUGCUUAUGUGUGUUGUUUGAGAGGUAAACUUGAGUCUCUAGUUACUUUUUAUGUGCUAAGGUCCUAAUUGUUCUUGCCUGUCACCUUAGUAUUUUCACCUUUAAAACCUUAGGGGUCUUUCUAGAACUACAUAUAGGUAGAGGUCCUAAAUUUCCUCAAGGACUAUUACGAAGGGACGGGUAACAACACGCAAUAGAGAUCACCGAGCAACACUCACUUUAAUGACCACUAAGGGGAUGGAAAGGGUAGUUAUGAGAUAUGAUGACAACACGCUAAUGUCACGUGUAGACCUCAUUGAGGAGUGUUUACCGGACAUUAUGUGGGAUGAUCCUAUAGGCUAACUAACCUAAGACUCCCCCUUUUCCAAGAUUCUUUUGUUUGGACUUUGUUUUAUACAACUUGUUCAAAAUCUUUGCCUUGUUAUUUGAGUUAUACAACGUCCAACGUGAUUUACUUGCAAAUUAUUUGAUUCAAACUAUUUAUUUGUUAAUGGACUAAUUCGUAAAUAUAAGUUCAUCCGGGACCCACCGUUAUGGACCGAGAGGGGUGCCCAACACCUUCCCCUUAAGGUUAUUUUGAGCCCUUACCCUAAUCUCUUGUAAUGCAAACCAAUCCAAGAGUUAAUCGCUCUAGGUUCCCUAACACACCAUAAUCCGUUAGGUGGCGACUUUUCAAAUGCCCAAUUCCCAAAAGGAAACAUGUUAUUAUCCCCAUGAAUGCCGAAACCUGGACUUCUAUCCACGGAGGGAAAAAAAGGGUGCGACAGCAUGAUGACUCUGCUAGGGAUACCUUUAGGCUCUUACCAUAACGAACUUAUCUUUUUACAAAUUAGUCCCAAGUAUGCUUUGUCCCAUACCCUUCUCCCUUAAUUGAAUUUAACUGUCCUUUUUUAAGCAUUUAUGGUUCUUUAUCCCUAAAACUGACAUGUCUCUUUGUUUUAUUUUCCUGUAACUGUCUUUAAAUUAUUUAAAUGCUAUAUUUAUUUUUCCUACGUGAAAAUACUUGACUACAUGUUAUUAAUUUCUGCAUAAUUCAUGCUCCGCAUCAUAUUUCACUCGUGCGUAUCAAAUCCUAUAGCAAUGCUUUAAUGAGUGGUCAUGCUCUUCCUAUUUACUACCCUUAAAGUCGACGGCUCCGUGCCUUCCCUCCAAAGUUGUCUGCUUGAGGGUAUGAGUUACGAGUCUAAAAUCCCAUAGUAGCCUUACUUUGGUCAAAAUUGUGCAUCCAUCAUGGUCAAACCUAGUCGGAUAAGUUAUGUUGUCCACAUAAUGAUUCAUUAAGAUGAGCUUUAUCCAAAUUCCACUGGGUUUUCCAUAAUCAUAAUGGACACAACUAUGUUUGGUGCAUUAAUUUGGAAAACUAAAUGCCAAUAUGCUAAUCAUGAAUGUAUAAGUAGUUGAGUCUGGUGGGGGAGAAAGGUCAAACCCUUUUGUGUCGCAAAAAAUGAAGAACGAGGUCACCACAUUUGGUAUGGUUAGCACACCCUCACUCUUGCUAGAUUGGUGGAGGAAUCUUCCAUCAAGUGACCAAAUCAGUCAUUGGAAGAGAGGGCCGCCAAAUCUAGCUAAAAGUUGGAAUACCCGGAAUACAGCCUAUUGGAAUUGGAAGGAAAAGUGAGGAGUAGAGUCACCGACUGCUAGAACGCUGAGGGAAAGGAAGGAGGACAUUUGUCAAAGGCAUUCUUACUGGUGAACCUGCACAACCUGGAGGAUUUGAUCAACGAUAACAUUCAAUCUGAGGAAGGUCCUUCUGGGACCAAAUAGGCUAGAUUUAUUUGCUUUGUCCUAAAAAUGUAAUAAGGCC